CCGGGUAUCGGGUCGCGUGCGGGUAGGGUUUAGGGUCGCGGGCGGGUUAUAGGGUUUCAACAAAACUAAUUUUUCACCAUUUGUGCACCAAUUUUUCACCGCCAUUUACCGUUCUCUCUCGGCCCUUUUACCCUAAACCGCCCUCAACCGCGCCGUCGGAAAUCUCGUGGAAAACCGCCGUGAACUGCUGUCAACCGUCGUCAACCACCCACCUUCAUCUUCUCCACCUGCAUAUUAUCCGUUUAUCCACUCAACUCCACUCCAAAAAAUGACCAAGCGCAAGCGCAAGGCUUCACAAACCGGCUCGACCUCCAAGCGCCAGCGCGCUGCAGAAUCCGGCGAGGAAAAAGCCGGAUUUGGAGUUCCUGGAAGCGUCAUGGAUAUUUGCAAAGAAAUCAAUGCAGAUGAGAGUUCCGGAUCUGAGGAACAACAAUCACCGAUCCGGGUGGUGACUCUUCCAACCACGGCGGAAGAAGCCGGCGAGGAAGACGAAGCCGCCGAGGAAGAAGAUUCUGGAGAGGAAGAAGAAGCCAUCGAGGAAGAAGAAGCCGGCGAGGAAGAAGAAUCCGGAGGGGAAGAAGAAGCCGUCGAGGAAGAAGAAGCCGGAGCGGAAGAAGAAGCCGGCGAGGAAGAAGAAUCCGGAGCGGAAGAAGAAGCCGUCGAGGAAGAAGAAGCCGGAGAGGACGAAUCCGCCGAGGAAGAAAACUCCGAAGAGUCCGCUGGUGAAGAUGAGAAUGAUUUGGCAACUACGGUAAUUCCUUGAAAACCCUAAUUUACUUGAUGAUUUGCAUGUUGGAAUUACUCAGUUUUUUUGGGAUUUCCUCUCGGCACUUAUGGCACUAUUAGUGCCAUAAGUACCAAGAGGAACAUUGAUUACUCUGGUUUAUUUUGGAUUACUUGGUUUAUUUUGGAUUACUUGGCUUUAUUGUUGGGAUUUCCGUUUGUAGAUCUGAUGAAAUCUGUCAUUUUACUUGAUGUGUUUUUAUUUUAGAUUUCCUUUGGCACUUAUGGCACUAAUAGUGCCAUAAGUGCCAACUGUGUAUUUAAGAUCUCAUUAUAAUACGUUUCAUUCAUUUUGGCAUGCUUUUAUUUUCGGAAUGAAGGUACAAUGGAAAUACCUACGAAAAGGUAUGGAGACAAUAAAACACAAGGUCAACAUUACGGGCAAGGAGAACAUUAUUGAAAUCAUAAAGAAUGUUUUAGAGGGUGACAAUGUAUACCAUGAGCUGCAAGAGUCUGUUUUCAGUGAUUUCCUCAAACUGCCAUCCCACGUAUCACGAUCAGGCCAAUGCCUGCAUUUCAUGAUAUCAAGACAGAUAGAAGGAAAACCAAAACCGGAUGAGACGGCGUUGUUUUUUAUCGUGGAUGGCUAUGUGACGAGGUUUUCCAGGAUUGAGUUUUUUUUUAUGACAGGAUUGAAAUUUGGGUCAAGCAACUUUAACCCCUAUGAAGAUCACAUCAUACUUGAGAAUUCUUUUUAUCAGAGAGUUCUUGGCGGUACGGAAAUUUCCCCCAACAAAUUGAGGGAGAUGUUUAUGAGCCGAGGUUUGGGUGAGCAAAAAAUGGACUAUGUUAAGGCAGCAAAGAUGCUAAUAGUGACGGAUCUGAUAUUCGGCUAUGAUGGUACGAAUUACAGAAUUCCGGAUUGGCUCUGGGUGCUAUCUGAGGACAAAACAGCAUGGGAGGAAUUCCCAUGGGGCAGCAUGUCAUUUCAGAUGACAUGUCAUGCAAUCAACAAGGUGAGAAGCACUCCAGCAGCAGCAGCAAAUGCAUCAUAUCAUCUAGCCGGGAACACUCUUGCCUUCUUGGCUUGGAUGUUUUGUGCUCUCCCAAAGCUGGGAAAGGAUAUCGGACAAAGAAAACCCUCAAAAGUAUUCCCCCGGAUGCUGAGGUUCACCUACACUAACAAUCGCAGGAGACCGGAAGCUGACGAACAGGUUCAUUUUUCACUGAAACCAACAGAAGAGGAAAAGCAAGAUAAACACUGGGCAUCUAUUGAAGAAGAAGGAACGCCAUUCAUUUUGCAGUACAGUCCCACUGCGGAUGGCAGCAAGAAGAGAGCAAAGAAAAUGGCCGCGAGGUAUGAGGGGGUAAGAAUGAUUCAAGAACGAAUGAUAGAGAGCGAAGGAGAAGGAAGAAACCAGCAACAGCAAGAGCAUCAACAACAGCAACAUCAACAACAACAGCAGGGAGAGGCUGUGAUGACAUUCACAGCCUCGGAAAUGAAGCAAUUUAUUGAAAAAGUGGGAGAAAGCGCAGCAAAGAGAGCGCGCAUUGAAUUUGCUGAAUAUUUCAAUCGGGAAGAGCUGAUAAAUGACAUAGCUGACUGCGUCGUUAGCAAAUUGCGUCAAAGAUAGCAAUAUAGGCCACCACAAGAGGUUAAAAUUUCUUAGUGCUUAGUAUUGUAUUCCUCACACUAAUCAUUGUUUUCAAACCAGGUUGCAAGCACAGCAGAAUGGAUGGCGCACUGUGAAUCUGAGGAGAGAUUUUACUGCCAAGUAUGGGGAACACCGGCUUCUAUGCCAACACCAACACCAACACCCACACCACCAGCAAAUGCAGACAUUGAAGCCGGAAUAUCAGCCGCAGCGGCAGCACCAGCAACCGCACAACAUGAAGCAGGAACAUCUGCAGCAGUGGCAGCAGCAACAGCAUCCCCGCCUCAACAAUUGGGGCAAAUCAGACCAAAAAGGAUGAGGAUGCCAUCUGCAGCAUGUAAAAGUCUAUUCCGGCGUGAUGAUGUCAGAGGAACAAAUUUUAUUAGGUACCUGAGGAGCAAAGAAGUUGAACAGUAAGUAAUUAAGUAGCAUUGAAUAGAUUUGCCUAAUGUAUGCCUAAUGUAUCAUCAUUCCAAUUAACAUUCUCAUAUGCAUUGAUAUGUCCAGGAGGAAUGUGGGAUUGCCAUAUCUGGUGGACAAAAAUUGGUUUGGUCUGAUAAAGAAGACUACCGAAAAGCUAGACAGUCAAAGCAUAGACUCCUACCUUGCCGUGCUAGCAGCAAAACCAGAGUUGGCUGGUUUUGAAGGAAUUGAAUUCCCUGCAAACAUUGCCAUCACAGGCACAAUGUUCUCGGCCGCCAUAGACCAAGUAUGGAAUGAAUUACAUGGAAAAGAUCCGAAAGGCACAACAUAUGACCCGAAAAGCGAAGAGAUCAUACAAGAGGAACAAAUGAAGAGGCUAUGCUUGUUUGCAGUGGGGAAAGAGCCACGAUGGGGGGAGUAUGUCAAGAAAUGGAACGAUGUUGAGAAGCUCAUCAUGAUUGUUCACUUCAACGAUCACUGGGCCACCUGUUUGGUGAAUUUCACGGACCAAGAGUUGAAGAUAUAUGACUCCAAUCAGCACAAGUUCGAUGAUAUCCAUCUCGAUAUACGUCAAUGUGCUUUCUUGCCAAUCUGCAGGAUUAUACCACAGAUCCUCAAGAAGAUUGGCUAUUAUGAGAAGCGCAAUGUGGAUGGGAAAUACACAGAAUGGAUAUAUUCCUACCCAUACGAUGGAUCGAACAAUCUGAAACAAGUGGAUAGCGUAAGUUGUGGGGUUCUGUGUCUUAAGUAUGUCGAGAUGAUGCUUACUGGAAAGUACGUUGAAAAGAACAUGAGCAAGGCAGUGCUUAAAACAUUCCGUGAAAAGAUAGCAGAAAGCAUCUACAAAUUCAGCACGGAUCCAAGUACCUUUGAGCCCUUGGAUGAUGAAGAUGAACAAGAGGAUGCCGGUGAAGGCGAAGAUGACGGUGAAGGCGUUGCGGCAGCCAAUCUUCGUGAAUGAACAAUCAGUUUAUAUUUGUAAAA